GAGUUUGAUCCUGGCUCAGAACGAACGCUGGCGGCAUGCCUAACACAUGCAAGUCGAACGGGAUCCAGACUUCGGUCUGGUGAGAGUGGCGGACGGGUGAGUAACGCGUGGGAACCUGCCCAAUGGUCUGGGAUAACCGCGGGAAACUGCGGCUAAUACCGGAUAAGCCCGAGAGGGGAAAGAUUUAUCGCCGAUGGAGGGGCCCGCGUCCGAUUAGGUAGUUGGUGAGGUAACGGCUCACCAAGCCGACGAUCGGUAGCUGGUCUGAGAGGAUGAUCAGCCACACUGGGACUGAGAUACGGCCCAGACUCCUACGGGAGGCAGCAGUGGGGAAUAUUGGACAAUGGGGGCAACCCUGAUCCAGCAAUGCCGCGUGAGUGAUGAAGGCCUUAGGGUUGUAAAGCUCUUUUGGCGGGACGAUGAUGACGGUACCGCAGAAUAAGCCCCGGCUAACUUCGUGCCAGCAGCCGCUGUAAG
rnacentral:rRNA from 1 species